AAUGAACGCUGGCGGCAGGCCUAAAACAUGCAAGUUGAACGCCCUAGCAAUAGGGAGUGGCGCACGGGUGCGUAACACGUGGGAAUAUGCCUUUUGGUACGGAACAACGUUUGGAAACGAACGCUAAUACCGUAUGGUCCCUUCGGGGUAAAGAUUUAUCGCCAAAAGAUUAGCCCGCGGUGGAUUAGCUAGUUGGUGAGGUAAUGGCUCACCAAGGCGACGAUCCAUAGCUGGUCUGAGAGGCCGAUCAGCCACACUGGGACUGAGACACGGCCCAGACUCCUACGGGAGGCAGCAGUUAGGAAUAUUGGACAAUGGGCGCAAGCCUGAUCCAGCCAUGCCGCGUGAGUGAUGAAGGCCUUCGGGUUGUAAACUCUUUAGCCGACGAUUAUAAUGACUGUAGUCGGAGAAUAAGCCCCGGCUAACUUCGUGCCAGCAGCCGCGGUAAU
rnacentral:rRNA from 1 species